GAUUUACAGAAAUGAGUAAAGUAUAGCUGAUAGGAAUAGAUAUAGCUAAUGAAAUUUGAAAGAAUUCACACAUUUUACAGUUUUGAACAUUUUUUUACUACAACUGUAAGAAUACCUAGCGAAGAAACUCGGAUAAUUUAAUUCGAAUGCUACAAAUAAAAGACAAGAUUAUGAAAAACGUUUAAUAAAUAUUCGCAAUUAACAAACACAACAGUAAAGCAUGUACACUAGUGCAAUAACCACAACAUUAUAUAAUACAUUCAAAACAUUGGUAAAGUAAUCUGAACUGAUUAGAACAUUAUGGAGGCAGUGUUACUUUUGAUGUAUUAUCAGGUAUUAUCGUCUAUUCACAAGCAUUCGCUGAGUUGAUCAUCUUAUUAUUCUGGUACAGUCAACGAAAAAUAUAUACAAAAUAUUUUCAACCGUCAAAAAUCUUUAACUGAGGAGUAAGUUUGAAUUUUUGUAUACGAAAUCUGCGAAGUUUACUCCUCAAUUUUUUUUUUAAAGAAUAUUAGCCAUGUUAAAUGACUAAUAUUCCCCUUUCCUCUCCAACUAAGCGUCAGGCUUGUGCUAGGAGUAGGUACGACAAUAGUGCAACGGGCGGGGUUUGAACCGUCGACCUUUCGGUUUUCAGUCCACUCCUUUACCGGUUGAGCUAUUGAGGCUCUCAAUUAGGUCACCUAUUGAAAAAUCAGCUGUGAAAAAAAAGACUGCUAAAUUAUAUUAGACAGGAAUAAUAUAGUAAAUUAAAGUGCACCUCCACUUCCACCUUAUAAGAUUUUCAAAAAAUUAUACGUGAGCUACGAUUUUGGUUUUCUAUUACUUUUAAACUUAACGAAACUCAAUGUCUCUUUCAUAAAGUUUUAUCAAAGUCAAUAAUUUUUAUGUAGCGUCGAAAGAACUAUUGUGGCGCACACUACUAUAAUUGAAAUUCUAAAUUGAUGCAGCUAAAAAUAAUCCUGUCCACAGGAAAUAUUGUCCAAGGUUAUUACAAUACUUGAACCUAAUUUUUAUCAUUUUUUCAUACAACAAAUCACAACCGUCAAAAAC